UACGUAGGGGGCAAGCGUUGUCCGGAAUCAUUGGGCGUAAAGCGCGUGUAGGCGGCUCAGUAAGUCCGCUCUGAAAGCCCGGGGCUUAACCCCGGGAGGCGGGUGGAUACUGCUGAGCUCGAGUCCGGAAGAGGCGAGUGGAAUUCCUGGUGUAGCGGUGAAAUGCGCAGAUAUCAGGAGGAACACCGAUGGCGAAGGCAGGUCUCUGGGCAUUAACUGACGCUGGAGGAGCGGAAAGCAUGGGGAGCGAACAGG
rnacentral:rRNA from 1 species